AAGCAGUACCAUUGGAUGUUAAUGAUCAACUGACUAUCUACCUUCAAUACUUUCUUUUGGAGCUGAAGGGAGCUGCUCAGCRUCACUGUCCCAGUGAGGGCACCAGGAUGAAAGACCCAGCUCUCCUGGGGCUCGGUGGAAAGCCACCACCACAACCGUCUUCUGGUAGCACUUCCACUUACAAAAGGUAACAGGCACCCCUGUGUCACAGGCACAAGUAUGAAUGAAGCUUGGGUGGACACACGUGAGCUUACUUCAGAAAUACAGGUGUGGCCUUCAGGAGCUUGUGCUAAUUUGGCCUGUGUUUGUASAGCAUCCAGCCUAAUGGGCCAUGAUCCAUUCCUGGGCUUCCCAGCUGCUGCUGCAGUGUGCAUUUUCAGCUGGUCUCCCUUCUGUCUGUGUACGUUUACCGGUGUGGCUGAAGGGAACGCUGGAUGGGCUGCAAAUUCCUCUCAAAGAACCAGGUAUAAGAACUAUUCUAAUACCAGCAAGAACAAAUCAACAUAAAAGAUGGAUUUAUAAUCACCACGAAGAAUAUUWAAAAAAAAGUAUUUGCCUAAUCCAAAUGUGUUGUUUAUAGACACUAAAUAAAUUCUAAGGUGCAAGAUAUUAUUGUUAAAUA
rnacentral:lncRNA from 1 species